CCCACCUGCUGUCGGUUAGCUAGUCGUGAACCUGGAAGCAUGUGUUAACAGAACUAGCUGCAGUUUGCGGGAACCUUUCUUCUCUUCUUCAGUGGCAUUAACUGUUUGUCUGGACUCCGGGAGAGACUACAUUUAUUCAGAUACAUCUGUCCGAAGAAAGCAGGAGUGUGUCCUGAAAGAGUUACCGUAUCUCCCAGAAUGGCCUCAGGAGGUUUUAAACAUAUUGCAAUCACAAGUCUCUCCAUGAGGAACUGGCGGAUCUAAGCAUGGUCCUGCAGUUUGUGUGGUUAGAUCUGCAGAGAGCAGCUAGAGGCCUUGGCACAGGCUAUUAAAUGUGACGACACCACCUUUUAUUACAUGCACAGUCAGAGAGGAAGUGUUAGGACCUGUGCCCAAAGGUUCAACUCCAGCACUCAGCCAACAUGGAAACAAGGUAUGUGUGUGUCAUCUGUCUAAAAACUAGGGCUACUCCCUACGUGUUCACACUAGUCAUUCUUCACCUGGCCAAAGUGACUGAUACCACUCAUACUUGAGCUAUAAUCAGUUAUUAUAUUAUACAUUUGAUUUCUGCUACUUCAUUCAAAAUCAAAAUACAAAAAUUACAUCAGAAAAGCACAGUUGCAUUUCUCGUGGCUCAGAGUAGUGCUCUUAUACCCUGAACAACUCCAAAACGAUGUUUUAGUACUUCUGCAUUGGUCUGUAGCAAUGCAACUUAGAACAUAGUCAUGUUCUGAUGCUAGGCUACUCUAAAACGGCACAACUGUAACAAUGCAACUUAUAAUGGUUAUGUUGUGAUGCUAGGCUACUCUAAAACGGCACAACUGUAACAAU